AACGAACGCUGGCGGCAUGCCUAACACAUGCAAGUCGAACGAGACCUUCGGGUCUAGUGGCGCACGGGUGCGUAACGCGUGGGAACCUGCCCUUAGGUUCGGAAUAAUUCCCCGAAAGGGGUGCUAAUACCGGAUAAUGUCUUCGGACCAAAGAUUUAUCGCCUUUGGAUGGGGCCGCGUUGGAUUAGCUAGUUGGUAGGGUAAAAGCCUACCAAGGCGACGAUCCAUAGCUGGUCUGGGAGGAUGAUCAGCCACACUGGGACUGAGACACGGCCCAGACGCCUACGGGAGGCAGCAGUGGGGAAUAUUGGACAAUGGGCGAAAGCCUGAUCCAGCAAUGCCGCGUGAGAGAUGAAGGCCUUAGGGUUGUAAAGCUCUUUUACCCGGGAUGAUAAUGACAGUACCGGGAGAAUAAGCUCCGGCUAACUCCGUG
rnacentral:rRNA from 1 species